rnacentral:Y_RNA from 1 species
GGCUGGUCCAAGUGUAGUGGUAUUUACAACUAAUCAAUCACAACGAGUUAUAGAUUUCUUUGUUCCUUCUCCACUCCCACUGCUUCACUUGACUAACCUGAA